GGGACUAUGAUGAUAAAUUUCAUGCUUUGUCUUUCUAUGCUACUACUCAGUUGUUGGCUACUGGGGAGGAAAGGAUUAAAUGCCAUGUCAAGGGUUUGAAUUAUGAUCUUCAGGUCUUAUCUGUGCAUAUGAAGUUUUUAGGGAAGGAGUUUAAUGAGGUGUCAGAGUAUUUGAAAAAGUUAAGGGGUGAUGCAAGUGAGUUAGGCUAAGAUGUUAGCUAAGAAAUCCCAUAAUAUUAGAAAUUUCUGUGGGUCUUCCUAUAAGGGACAUGGUCAGUAGGCCUACCUAUCCC
rnacentral:lncRNA from 1 species